rnacentral:rRNA from 1 species
UACGUAGGUGGCAAGCGUUGUCCGGAAUUAUUGGGCGUAAAGCGCGCGCAGGCGGUUCCUUAAGUCUGAUGUGAAAGCCCCCGGCUCAACCGGGGAGGGUCAUUGGAAACUGGGGAACUUGAGUACAGAAGAGGAAAGCGGAAUUCCACGUGUAGCGGUGAAAUGCGUAGAGAUGUGGAGGAACACCAGUGGCGAAGGCGGCUUUCUGGUCUGUAACUGACGCUGAGGCGCGAAAGCGUGGGGAGCAAACAGGAUUAGAAACCCCCGUAGUCC